rnacentral:lncRNA from 1 species
ACAAUAUCAAAAAAUGUGUUCCCUUCCUUCCUCUCUCAAAAUAUCCUAUUUUCCUCUCUAUGUUCCUGAGCUAUCUUAGCUCACUUUCACAAGUUAUCAUGCUAUCAGAGCCUACGUAAUCGAUCGUCAAGCUUCUCGUUCGUGUUUAUCAGCCCUUAAUUGCUGAAAAUCUCAUCCAGUUUUCCUUGUUUUCGCUUUAAUUUUUGUUGUUUACUUAAACCUACGAGUUAAUUUCCAUCAAUUAUUGAAUAUACGACCUGCUGUAAGCUUCAAUGGUUGCACCUACACCUUCAACUGGGGAUGUAGCUGGAGAUACAAUCAUGCCAACAAUCGAUCAACAUCAUCCUCUAUUUUUUCAACCAUCGGAUACUCCCGGUAGCUCCUUAAUCUCCGUGAAACUUAUGGGUCCUGAGAAUUGCACCUUGUAGACUAGCACUAUGUGUAUAAGUCUAUUAGGCAAAAGUAAACCGGAUUUGUUGAUGGUCGAUACCCUAAGGAAAAAUUUCAUGCCUCUUUACAUGAACUUUGGGAAAAGUGCAAUGCCAUAGUGUUAUCAUGGAUUAUGAACUCAGUAAAUGCUGAACUGUUAAGCGGUAUGGUUUAUGCAUCUGGUGCUCAUAAGGUGUGGAUAGUUCUUUAGGAGAGAUUUAACAAGGUGAAUAGAUCGAUAAUUCUAUUUCUGCACAAGGAGAUAGCUACACUUACUUAGGGAAUUUAUUCCGUAUCUCCAUAUUUUUCCAAAUUGAAAGAGUUUUGGGCUGAAUUUGUGCACUCAUGCCCUGUCCUGGUUGUAGCUGGGAAGAGUCCAGGAAAUAUGUUGAACAUUUUGAGUACUAGCAGUUACUAUAAUUUCUGAUGGGUUUGAAUGAUUCUUACUCUCAAUCGAGCAACCAAAUUCUGAACAUGGUCCCUAGAGCUUCUAGUUUGGUCUCUCAGCAUAGUGGUUCUAUACUAGGCCCUGGUGGUUUCAACGCUAGUAUCAGUAACUCUCUUAGUUCAAGUUCCUACAAUAAUCCUCACACUUUAAGUUUUGGAUCAAAUCAAAGAUUUAAGAAGACCAAUCUCUUUUGAGAUUAUUGGCAUUUCAAAGGACAUACUAGGGACAAUUGCUACAAGUUGAUAGGAUACCCUAGUGACUCCAAAUAGAAAAAGAGGUUUGUUCCACAUGGUUAUUCUGGUACAAUGACUUAUUUUUCACAUGAUAGUGCUAGUAUUGCAGGAGGGAGAUAAGUAAGUUUUGAUCAUAUGAAUCAAAAUUCAUAUGGAUCAACUCUUAGCAUCCCUCAAUUCACCCAGGAAUAAUUCUAUUAGUUGUUGAACCUACUUGGGAAGGGAGAUACCACUACAGGGAAGGAAGAUGCUACUACUGACUCAGCCAUAACAACAGGUAUGUCCUCAUACGCUGUAGCUUGUGGGGCUUCUAAAACUAGUUAUAAGUGGAUAAUUGAUUCUAGAGCAUCAAGCCAUAUGACCAAUACUCUCAAGUUAUUGACAGACUUUAGAAGUUUUUAAAGUAUUAAUAGAUACAACAUGUACUUUCCUACUGGUGAUCUUGUUUAUGUGCAACAUCUUGGUUCAGCUCAUAUUUUUGAAGGUCAUAAAAUUUCUAAUGUCAUGCAUAUUCCGGACUUCACAUACAAUCGUUUAUCAAUUUCUAAGUUGACAAAGGAAUUCAAUUUGGCUAUGCUAUUCUAUCCUGACUUCUGUCUCUUUCAGGACAUCUUAAGUGGUUAGGUGAAUAGGAUUGGUAGAGAAGUUGAUGGUUUAUAUGUGAUCAAUUCAUGAGAUAAGCAUAAAGUUCAAAUUUUAGCUGAUAGUAUCAGAAGAACUACUAUUGCUUAUACUGGCUCUACUUCAGCUAGAGUAUAAGAAGUCUGAUAGUGUUUUGUGGCAUAGAAGGCUAGGUCAUGUACUAAUUAGUACUUUGUAGAGAAUAAAUGGUUUGCAACCUGUUACUUGUGAUGGUAGAGUCAAAGAUUGUACUGUGUGUCCUUUGGCUAAGCAAACUAUAUUGCAUUUUCCCUUAAGCAGUACUACUGUUGGUUUCUAUUUUCAUACUAUACAUGUAGAUGUUUGGGGUCCAUAUAGAGUUCCUACAAAUAAUGGUAAGAGGUACUUUCUUACUCUAGUUAAUGAUCACUCAAGAUACAUAUGGCUCUUCCUGUUACCCAUAAAGUCUGAUGUAAUUGUUGUAAUGAAAUCUUUUUUUGCUAUGAUGCAGAAUGUGUACUCUUGAAAUGUUUGAGGUCUGAUAAAGGCUGUGAAUUUUUUAAUUCUCAAAUGCAUGAAUUACUUCAGUCUCUAGGAAUCAUACAUCAAAGCUCGUAUAUAUAUACUCUUCAGCAAAAUGGAAUUGUUGAGAAAAGGUAUAGAUAUAUUCUAGAAUUUGCCAGAUCUCUUAGAUUUCAAGCUAAAGUUCCUUUGAAAUUUUUUGGAGAAUAUGUUGGUACUAUAGUUUAUAUCAUUAACAGGCUACCAUCAUCAGUUCUUCAAGGACUGUCUCCUUUUGAAAAGGUUUUUUGUCAUGCCCCUGAUCUCUCUCACAUGAAAGUUUUUGGUUGUCUUGUGUAUGUCGCUUGUGUGAAAAGAUCUGAUAAGUUUGCUCCAAGAGCAGUGCCUGUAGUCCUUCUUGGUUGCUCACAGACUCAGAAAGGUUACAAUAUGUUUAGCAUUUUCUCUAAGGAGUUUCAUAUCAGUAGAGAUAUGGUAUUUAAGAAGGGUAUCUUUCCAUUUAUGUCGCCUGCUUGUCCCAGUGCUACCACUCUUUUUCCUAUGUAGUUUUGUUUUCAACCGCACAAGCAGAUUAUACUACUUCUCCAAUUCUUUCUCCCUUAAAUAAUGUUCCCACAGAAAGUUUAGAGCCUGAAACACAAUAUACAUCUCUCUUCUUUUCCUCCCGAUAGUGGAGAAACUAAAAUGCCACAUACCUUACCUUUAUCAACUGUAGUUCCCUCUUCAGUUUCUAAGAGGAAAUUCUCAAGAUCCUUAAAACCUCCACUAUAGAUGUAGGAUUACAUAACUAAAGGCAAGGGCAAUUACAGUUCCAACUAUCCCAUCUCUAACUCUGUUAGCUAUGCUAAUAUGUCACCUGUCUUCAGUAUUGAUCUAGAAUCUUAUUACCAUAUUAUGCAACCUCAGUCUUUCUUUGAGACUGUUAAAGAUGCUAAGUGGAUGGAGGCCGUGCAACAGAAGAUAUCUGCCUUAGAUGAAAACCAAACAUAGAGCAUUGUUGAUCUACCUGCUGGCAAAGUUCCAAAUGGAUACAAAUGGGUAUUUAAAGUCAAAUAUACUACUUCAGGGGAUGUAGAAAGAUACAAAGAUAGGCUGGUUGCUAAGGGUUAUAGUCAGAAGGAGGGGUUAGACUAUACAGAUACCUUUUCAACUGUGACUAAAAUAGUCAUAGUAAGAACUAUAUUAGCCAUUAUUUCAUCACAAGGUUGAUAUGUCUAUCAGAUGGAUGUACACAAUGCUUUUCUACAAGGUGAUCUAACAGGGGAGGUGUACAUGGUCAUUCCUCAAGGCUUCUCUUAUUAUAACACUAAGAUUAAAGUCUGUGGGUUGCACAAAUCUUUGUAUGGCCUCAAACAUGCCCCUAGACAAUGGUAUCUUGUAUUUCAGAAAACAACCAUGCCUCUCCAUCGCACUAACGAUAAUGACCAGGCUGAUGAGGUCCGUCCCACUCAUGGAAUAAGGACCCAAAAUAGAGCUCAGACUCCAGAGGUUGAUGUUACUCUGGGAGUCCCACCUAUUCAGACCAGCCCACCCAGGGCACCCAGAGCUCCUCGAACGGGGAGUAACUACACCCAUCCUUGUGAGAGAGAGGUGUCUAAUAUAGAAUUUAGACAGUCUAUUCAUAUUCUUUUGUAGUUGGUGGCCACAUAGACUCCACGGUCAGAAGAUAUUAGUUCCGCAUCUAUUAUAUCUGAGUCUACUAGGGUGGGUCAGUUCAUUAGAAUGAACCCACCCAAGUUUUCUGGCACCAAGGUAGAGGAGGAUCCAUAGGAGUUUGUGGAUAAAAUAGAGAAAAUAUUUAAAGUGAUGCAUGAAGAUGAUGUGGAAGGUGUGGAAUUAGCAUCUUAUCAUCUUAAAGAUGUUGCAAAUCAGUGGUAUAAUGAGUGGGAGGAUGCGAAGGGUGAGAGCGCUGAGCCCAUAAUUUGGGGUAAGUUCGUGGAAGCCUUCCUUGAUCGGUUCUUUUCUCUAUAAUUGCGAGAAGCCAAAGAUGAGGAAUUUAUGAAUUAAAGUAGGGAAAAAUGAGUGUCUAGGAGUACACUCUGAAGUUCAAUCAACUAGCCCGUUAUGCUCCAGAGAUAACUAAUAAUAUGAGAUCCCGAAUGAGAAAAUUUGUAUCCGAGCUUUUAAAUGACUUAGUGCUUGAAUGUCAUGGAGCAAUGCUGAAUCGAGACAUGGACUUUGCUAGAAUAUUAGUCCACAUGUUGCAAGUUGAGGAGAAGAAAAGAAAAUUGCUGAAUCUAGGGAGAAAGACAGGCAGGCAAAGAGAGCCAAAAUAGCAGACCAGAGCCACAGUCAGCCGCAGAGUAAAAAUUAGAGUAACAAGUGGUAAAAUAGAAAGAAUUGGGGCAAUACUCAUCCUGAAACUAGCACCCCUGUGCCUAGACGCCUACGUGAUCAAAGACCUUUUUAUCCUCAGGCUAAUAGUGGAGGAAGGAUGUAGGAUACCCGUUUAUAGGGUAGCAUGAUAUAGCCCGCUAGAUCCCUUUUCUGUUAUAGUAUCUGCGGGAAGAAUCAUCCUAGGAAGUGUUACUUCGAGAGGAGAAGUUGUUAUUCCAGCGGCCAAGUGGGUCACCUUUAGAGAGAUUGCCCUUCUACUGGAGGUAAUGUUGGAGGAGCCAAGUCACAGUCUAAUUCUUCCGUACCACCACUUCGGUCUCCCAUAGUGGUUGCAACCGACUGUAUGCCUUGACCAACCGCCAGGAGGCAGAGGCCUCACUAAAUGUAGUUACCGGUACGUUACAAAUUUUCUCUCGUGAUGUGUAUGUAUUUCUUGAUCCCGGGUCUACCUUGUCUUAUGUGACCCCUUAUGUAGAUGUUGGUUUUAGGUUUAAGCCCGAUGUAAUUGCUGAACCUUUUUCUAUUUCCACUCCGGUGGGAGAUUUUGUUGCGGCUAGGAGGGUGUAUAGAAAUUGUGUGGUGACUGUUUGUGGCUGGGAUACUAUGGCAGACCUCAUAGACCUAGAUAUGGUUGAUUUUGAUGUUAUCCUAGGGAUGAACUGUCUCCAUUCAUGUUAUGCCAUGCUAGAUUGCAAAACCCAAAAGGUUACUUUCUCUUUUCCGAAUGAGCCAGUUAUAGAAUGGGAGGGGCAUUCUUUAGCACAUAGAGGGAAAUUUAUAUCUUAUCUCAGAGCCUAUAGACUUAUUUCUAAAGGCUGUUUGUAUCAUCUUAUUCAGGUUGAAGAUUCUAACACUAAAAGUCCUUUCUUUCCGUUUGUCCCUAUGGUAAAUGAAUUUCCAAAAGUAUUUCCAGAUGAUCUCCCAGGAAUACCACCUGAUAGGGAGAUAAAUUUUGGUAUUGAUUUGUUGCCAGAUACCCGUCCCAUUUCUAUUUCGCCAUAUAAAAUGGCUCCUAUAGAACUGAAAGAGUUGAAAGAAUAGCUAGUAGAUCUUCUAGACAAAGGUUUUAUCUGUCCUAGUAUUUCUACCUAGGGUGCAUCUGUACUCUUCGUGCGAAAGAAAGAUGGUUCCUUGCGUAUGUGCAUAGAUUAUCGUAAUAAGGUCACUGUUAAAAAUAAAUAUCCUCUUCCUAGGAUUGGUGAUCUCAUUGACCAACUUCAGGUUGCCAAAUGUUUUUAAGAGAUAGACCUUUAUUCGUGAUGCCAUCAGUUGAAGGUUAGAGAGUCAGAUAUUCCAAAAAUAGCUUUCCAAACCCGAUACGGUCAUUAUGAAUUCUUAGUUAUGUCCUUCGGGUUGAGUAACGCCUUUGGAAGUUUUAUGGACCUGAUGAAUAGAAUCUUCCGUCAGUUUCUAGAUCUGUUUGUCAUAGCUUUCAUUUAUGAUAUUUUGAUUUAUUCAAAGAGUGAGGAGGAUCAUGCCAAUCACCUCCGAAUUAUUCUUCAGACCCUCAAAGAUCAUAAGUUGUAUGCAAAGUUUUUAGAGUGUGAAUUCUGGCUUAAUGCUAUUGCUUUCCUGGGGCAUAUUGUGUCUAGUCACGGGAUUAAGGUUGAUCCCCAAAAGGUUGAGGCAGUGAGAAAAUGGCCCAGACCCACGACUCCAACCGAUAUUCAGAGCUUCUUAGGUUUGGCGGGAUAUUAUAGAAGGUUUGUAGAGAAUUUUUUUUCCAUAGCUGCUCUACUUACUAAAUUGACUCAGAAAAAGGUAAAGUUCGUGUGGUUUGACUUCUGUGAGAAUAGUUUUGAGAAGUUGAAAGACAAGUUAACAACUGCUCCUGUUUUGACUCUUCUGAAAGGUACAGAGGGUAUUGUUGUGUACUGUGAUGCAUUCCGAGUGGGACUUGGGUGUGUACGUAUGCAGCAUGGUAAGGUGGUGGCUUAUGUAUCUAGGCAGUUGAAGGUACAUCAGAGAAACUAUCCCAUCCAUGACUUGGAGUUAGCAGCUGUGGUGUUCGCGCUUAAUAUCUGGCGGCAUUAUCUUUAUGGGGUACAUGUUGAUAUAUUUACGGACCAUAAGAGCUUACAGUAUGUUUUCUCGUAGAAAAAAUUGAACCUCAGGCAGAGGCAUUAGUUGAAGCUUUUAAAGGAUUAUAACAUGAGUCUACAUUAUUAUCCGGGCAAGGCGAAUGUGGUAUCCAGCGCCCUCAGUAGAUUAUCUAUGGGUAUUCUUACUCAUGUUAAGAAACAAAAGAGGGAGAUGGUGAAGGACAUUUAUCGACUGGAAAACACGGGAGUUCAACUUUUGGAUUCCAAAGAUGGGGGAGUAAUUGGCCAUGAGAUAGCGAAAUCUUCCCUUUAUACAGAAGUUAAAGAGAAGCAGGUUGAAGAUCCCAUCUUGAUGCAGAUUAAGAAAGAUGUGGGUUAAUAAAAGGUGAUGCCUUUUGAAAUUAGUGGUGAUGGUAUUCUGAGAUAUCAGGGUAGAUUAUGUGUGUCAGAUGUAGAUGGUCUGCAGAAAAGGAUCCUUGAUGAAGCUCACGCUUCGAGGUAUGUUGUUCACCCAGGCUCUACUAAGAUGUACCAUGAUCUAAAAUCUAUAUAUUAGUGGAAUAAUAUGAAACGUGAUGUGGAUGACUUUGUUUCCAAGUGUUUGAAUUGGCAAUAAGUUAAAAUUGAACAUUUAAGGCCAGGUGGUACUUCCCAAAGAUAGCUUUGCCAUUAUAGAAGUGGGAGAUGAUAAAUAUGGACUUCAACACGGGACAUCUGAGUUCCUAAAAUCAGUAUGAUUCUAUUUGGGAAAUUGUUGAUCGGCUGACGAAGUCAGCUUAUUUUUUGCCUGUGAGGACCAACUAUUCGAGAGAUGAUUAUACCAAGUUAUACAUUGAGGAGAUAGUCCAUUUUCAUGAAACACCCAUAUCCAUCAUAUCUGACCAAGGUACGCAAUCCUCUUAGAAGUUUUGGAGAUCUUUUCAGAAGGAUUUAUGUACCCAAGUGAACCUAAGUACUACAUUUCACCCUCAGACUGAUGGACAAGCUGGGCACACCAUUCAGACCCUUAAGGAUAUGUUGAAGGCUUGUGUAAUUGAAUUCAAAGGUAGCUGGUUAGAUCACUUACCAUUGAUAGUGUUUUCUUACAAUAAUAGCUACCAUGCCAGUAUUAAGAUGGCUCCCUUUGAAGCAUUGUAUGGGAGAAGAUGUAGGUCACUAAUAGGGUGGUAUGAAUUAGGUGAGACAUGGUUGUUUGGGCCGGAUCUUGUUCAUUAGGAAAUGAAGGAUGUGAAAAUAAUUAGAGAACGGCUUAAGACAACUCAGAGUCGAUAGAAGUCCUAUGCCGAUGUUAGAAGGAGGGAUUUGGAAUUUGAGGUUGGUGAUUGGGUGUUUCUAAGAGUCUCCCCUAUGAAGGGAGUCAUGUGAUUCAGGAAGAAAGGUAAGCUGAGUCCUCACUAUAUAAGGCCAUAUAAGAUUUUGAAAAUGAUAGGUGGGUUUGCGUACGAGAUAGAGUUACCUGCAAAUCUGGGUUCUGUUCAUCCGGUAUUUCACAUAUCCAUGUUGAAGAAAUGUAUUGGAGACCAUUCGUUAGUGUUUCCUGUACAAGAGAUCAAAGUGAAAGACUCCUUGUCUUAUGAAGAAGAAUCUGUAGCAAUCUUGGAUCACCAAGUUAGGAAAUUGAGGAGCAAGGAGAUAACUUCGGUUAAAGUUUGUGGAAAAAUCAAAAAGUUGAAGAAGCAACUUGAGAAUCAGAAGAUGACAUGAGAGAUAGAUACUCAAACUUAUUUGAUCAGGUAAAUGACGAAAAUGUUCUUGAAAUCAUGCUUAUCUGUGUUCCGCGCCAACAUUCGGGGACUAAUGAUCCCAAGAGGGGAUAAUGUAACACCCCGUGAAAAUUGUACAUGUAUUAGCUUUUUGUAGUAUGCUUAUAGAGUAAAAACUCAAAAAUUUCUCUAAGUGUCAAAGGGACUUAGUCUCAUUUUUAGCUCCCAAUCUUUGAUGAAUUAUUUUGUGACCUUCCCGACCUCUAUUUCUUGAUUUUCUUGUUGAUACACGAUGGGGAAAGUAAAUAGGACUUUUUGAGUGCAUUUUAGGGGCAUAACACACUGGUUUGAAAUGCCUUUGAAAUGCUCUAGCAUUCCGGGUGCAUUUCAAACCACAAUUUUAGGGUCAACUUCAAAUGAUCAUAACUUUCUGUAUAUAAUGAACUGGGAGGACUUCUAUAAAUCAAAUGAAAUCUCUUUAAGUAUUAUUUCUAAUGCAACUAAUUUCAUCCAAAUCUAACAUUGAAGUAAAAAGUUAUGUCCGAUUUACUUUAGCAUAUCAGCCUGUCUGAGGGACUGCUGCGACUCUCUUUAUUUUUUUAGGGGUAUUUUAGUCUUUUCCCACCCUUAUUCAGAUAUAAACAAGUGAUUAAGCCCCUAAUUGACUAGAAUAUGGUUAUUUUCUCCAAAUCCCUCAAGAAUUAAACACUUAGGUCUCAACCUAAGAAUCAAGAUCCCUCAAGAUUCAAUCGUGGGUUUUUUAAAUUAAUUGAAGAUUUGGAAUCCCCAAAUCAUAGUCUUCAAGAAGCAUAUAUCAAAUUCCUAAUUUGAGGUUCUUGGGGUUUAUCCUAAAAAGUACAUGGUCUUGUAAACACUAGAUCAUGAUUUAAAGAUUAUUAAGCAUGAAUUUUAAAGGGUUUUUUUUGGAAUCUAUGUUUUAAUUAUGCGUUAUAAAUGUUUUUAUGAUAUUGUUGAUUUGGCCUUUAGGUCUUUCCCCUUUGAAUUGACUUACAAGUAUAUGUAUAUGUAUGAAAACUGAGAUUAAAGAUUGUUGGAGAGCACAUAUUAUGAAACCCCUCUCCUAUGUUGAAUUAAAGAUUAUGGUUUUGUCGGAAAAAAGUUGAAAUGUAUGCCUUGUGAUUUGAAAGUAGUUUUCUCAAUGUCAUAGCAAUUGAAACAUGAUUUAGAAAUAAUGAGAGGGUGUUUCUUAAUGUUACUAUGAUAUUCUUGUGUUAAAGAGAAAGAAAUACAUGUAAUUGAGAACUUCGACAUGACCACCUUGAAUUCUUGAAAUGUUGACAAAAAGAGUUUCCUUGCAUAUGUUUACAUGAGUUUUAAAGAAUGAGUUUCUUGAAAAGAAUUGAUGAUAUGGUGGUCUUAAAUUUCAUGUUUUAAGAGCAAAGAUAUAAUUUUCUAAAUUGCUCAGAGAAUGUGACUUGCAAGUCAAUGGUAUGACAAUACCAUAUAAAUGUAUGCCAUGACAGAGUUAAGAGUUUGAUAUUAGAGAAUCUAUUUUUUAAAGAGUGAAAAACUGGGUUGAUGUGAGUUAGGUGGCUACCCGAAGAAAGCCUGAGUCAAAUGACUCUACACUGGAAAUCGUGAUUUGCCGACAUGGGAACUCGGUACCCUACUAUGUUAUCUUAUGUACCUAGUACUUUGUCAUCCCAAAUCGGGACUUAUGGUUUGGAGCCCUGCUUCGUGAUCUUGAGCCCAACCACGAUAUAAUGACUUGAUUGGGGUUGUGGUACCCUACUGUGUAAUCUUAUGUGCUCUUCCCUCACUAGUACUCCUAUCUUGGUGGAAACUGAGAUAAGGUAGUCGGUGAAAGCUGUGAAAUUAUAGGGUAUACCACCUAGCGCAGAAGUUAAACACAGAAUGUUACAGAGUUCAAAUGAUUUUACAAAAUCUUUUAAAAAUGCCCAUGUGAUUUUUACCAUAUGAUAUAUUUAUGAACUAUUUUAAAUUUCUCUCAUAUAUGUUGAAUAUAAAUUAUUAUUUUGGAUUUGCUCUGCGUACUAGUACAUCUGUAUUGACCCCCUACCUCUCAGGUUCGGAGGCUCAAUCUAGGGGUCCGGCUAAGCAGUAGAGUAUCCAGGGAGAAGUGAUCAGUGCAGUGGUAAGACCUCUUUGUUCCAGAAGGCCUAUUAUAUCAAAUUAUCUAAUUCCUUUAGUUUUGGUCUAUUAGGGGCCUUGUCCCAGUUUUCAGACAGUUGUCAUUUGAUCAUGUAGUAGAGAUUUCGCAGAUUGUUCUAGAUGUUGUUUAGUUGAUUUCAGAUUUUAUUCCUUAUUGUUAAAUUGAAUUCAGAGUAUAACCAUGUUUCCGUAUCAGAUUGUAUUUCUGCAUCUUCUCUUAUUAUAUGAAUAUUGUGCAUGACUACCAGAUAGAGUAGGACGUUUGGGCCUUUAUGGUUCAGGAUGUCCGUCACGACCAGGCCCUUGUUUGGGUCGUGACACAGGUAGUGAUCCAAACCUAAUUCAACAUAGAAGGAAUGAUUUGCAACUGAAGUUCAAAAUGAAAGACUUAGGGAACUCAAGUUCUUAGGGAACUCAAGUUCUUCCAAGGUAUAGAAUUUACAAGAUCCUCUAGAGGUAUUUUGAUGUCACUGAGGAAGUAUGCUCUAGAACUAAUUACUGAAAUGGGACUUUAAGGAGCAAAACCUACUGGCACCCCUCUUGAAUCCAACUUAAAACUCACAUCUACAGAAUUUGAAAAGAUGAUACUACUAGAAAAUCAGGAUGCUAAAGAUAGAGAAUUAGCAGAUGUUGGGCAGUAUCAAAGAUUGGUUUGCAGGUUAUUAUAGCUCACAAUGACCAGAAUUGAUAUAGCCUAUGUAGUCCAGGUCCUAAGUCAGUUCAUGCUUAAACCUAAACAAUCUCACCUUGAUGCAGCUCUAAGGGUAGUGAAAUACAUUAAAUCAGCUCCUGGCCUUGGUCUGCUAUUACCUUCCACAAGUUCUAGUAAACUUGAAUCAUUUUGUGAAUAUGAUUGGGGUGGUUGUCUACAAACCAGAAGAUCAGUCACUUGUUACUUAGUCAUGUAUGGUGGUGCACUAAUUUCUUGGAAAUAAAAAAACAAGCCACUGUUGCUAGGAGCUCUGCAGAAGCUGAAUUCAGAAGUAUGGCCUCUACAGUGGCUAAAAUCACUUCGUUGAAAGGCUUCUUCUAAGAAUUGGGAGUUACUCUUGAUGUACCAAUUCACUUGUAUUAUGACAGCAAAGCUGCUAUUCAGAUUGCAGCCAAUCCUAUAUUUCAUGAGAGAACCAAACAUAUUGACAUAGAUUGUCAUUUUGUCAGCGAAAAAAUUCUACAAGGUGUUGUCAAAACUUUUCAUGUAUCAACUAACGACCAACUUGAUGAUCUGCUGACCAAGAGACUUGGCAAUCAACCUCAUGACUACCUAUUAUCCAAGCUAUUUUUGAAAGAUAUCUUUUCACCAUCAGCUUGAGGAGGGAUGUUGAAGUUAGUUGAACAAAUGUGUGUUAGAGUUCCUAUUGUUAGUUAGAGUUUAGUGAGAGUUGGUUAGACAGCUAAUUUAAUUGUUACUUACUGACUGUACAGUUAGUUAGUUAGUUAGAAUGAGUUGAGAUUAGUGAACUAUCUCAAGUAUAGAACCUUCUGUAUAUAUGUACUUAGAUGUAGCAACUGUUUUAUUGAGGAACUAAUCACAAUAUCAAACAAUGUGUUCCCUUCCUUCCUCUCUCAAAAUAUCCUCUUUUCCUCUCUGUGUUCUUGAGCUAUCUUAGCUCACUUUCAAAAGUUAUCAAUUACUUUCUCUUUUCAUACAUUUUUAGCUUCCAAAAAUUUCCUGACUAUAAUGUGGAGGUACGUAUCCAAAAUAAUACUCUAUAAAACUAUAGUACCUGCAACAUCUAGCUUGGUUUGAGAUGUUCGGGGAUGAAUUCUUCAUGGUUAUCAUCUAAAAAAGAAAAUGUUGCAUCCAAGGGUGUGCCAAAAUGGAGUGAAGUGAGAACUAUGAAGUCUCAUAUUCGAAUUCCGCCAGAGGCAAAAGCACUAGGUGAUUUUUUCGGGUCUGUCCAAGCUUUGAUGGACAGAGUUUUUGGGUAGAUAUGCUGGUAGGAGGUAGAAGGUAUCCAUUGGGAUUUUUCAAGGUCUGAGCAACCUGGUUGGAAGAGUUAAAAAGAAAAAAAAAUUCUUUAGAUUUAGAUUGUGGUCUUAUCUUUAGAUCAUUCAGUUGGAAGUUUGCUUUCAUUUCUUGGGACUGAGGAGUUAAAAACAGUCUGUUUUAAUAUGUCAAGCAUAGUCUUAUGAAUUUCUUUAUAUGAUAUCAGAGUGAGACUCAAUUCCUAUUUCUUGAUUUACCCAUUGAGGCCCCAUGAUGUUUUCUAUGCUUCAGAUGUCUAGUUCGUGGGCAUGAGUGCGAGGAGAAGGGGGAGGGUUUUUAUUUUCCCAUAUUAGUUGAGAGAACGAGCUGUUGUUGUCUCUGUUGUAUGGUCUUAAGCAUUCAUCUCAUGAGCUUUGUUGUUGAGUAAAAACUCAAGAUCAUCAGCUUUCUUUACCGCCAACUUAACUGACUGGUUAUCAUGUUUUUUUGGCAGGACGCUGCUGUUAGAAGUUGUCAGAGGUGGUUCACCUAAAUGUACAUGUUACAGUGCUGCAACAACCGAUGAUAGGAAAUUUAUUGGCUUGACUUUCCAUUGUUCAUUUACCAUGACUUUUCAUCAUGGCUUCUUCUUCACUAUUGUAUUUCCUUUUCAUACUGCAUUUGAUAUGCUUUACUUGUGCAGCAAAAGGCCUUUGGUUCUUAGUGUACACUGCCUGUUACAAUGACUGCCAUGUCAGUCUAUUGGGUAAAAUCAUUGCACACAUUCAAUCCAAA